rfam:Oryza rufipogon genomic scaffold, chr01
AAAAAAACAAACUCUGAGUUUUCGUGCCAACGCUUGACUGUCCAUCUUAUAUGAAAUUUUUUUAAUUAGUAUUUUCAUUGUUAAUUAGAUGAUAAAACAUGAUUAAUACUUUAUGCGUGACUUAUCUUUUUAAUUUUUUUCAUAAUUUUUUCAAAUAAGACGAACGGUCAAUCGUUGAACACGGAAAUCAGGGUUUGUCUUUUU